rnacentral:rRNA from 1 species
AGGAUAAACGCUGGCGGCGUGCAUGAGACAUGCAAGUCGAACGGACGAGCUUGCUCGUUAGUGGCGGACGGCUGAGUAACGCGUAGGUGACCUGCCCCGAAGUGGGGGAUAACUGCCCGAAAGGGUGGCUAAUACCGCAUGUGGCGACGCUUUCAUUGGCGUCAUCAAAGCCGCGAGGCGCUUCGGGAGGGGCCUGCGUCCGAUUAGCUCGUUGGUGGGGUAAUGGCUCACCAAGGCGACGAUCGGUAGGUGGUCUGAGAGGACGAUCACCCAGACUGGGACUGAGACACGGCCCAGACUCCUACGGGAGGCAGCAGUCGGGAAUUUUGCUCAAUGGGCGCAAGCCUGAAGCAGCAACGCCGCGUGCGGAUGAAGGCCUUCGGGUUGUAAACCGCUUUUACCAGGGACGAUAAUGACGGUACCUGAUGAAUAAGUCACGGCUAACUACGUGCCAGCAGCCGC